UGGAAUAGAGCUUAAGAAUUCUAAGCGUCCCGUUUACAUUGGGAAGAAUUAUUGUGAAAGUCAAUUUAUUUCAA
rnacentral:tRNA from 1 species